CCUUCUGUCAGAUUAGUGAAAGCAUUAGAUUAGAAGCAAAGUGCACAGUAAAUGUAAUAUGCUUGAAUCAUCCCCAAACGCCCACUUCUGGUCCAUGGAAAAACUGUUUUCCACAAAAUUGGUCCCUGCUGCCGAAAAGGUUGGGGACCUCUGAACUAUACCAGUAGUCCUCCAAGUGUGGCUCUGGGAUCAGCAGCAUCAGCAUCACCAAAUUCUCAGCUCCCAUGCCAGACCUGAAUCUGAAACACUUGGGUGGGAUCCAGCAAUGUGGAUUGCGACAAGUCCUCUAGCCUCUUUCAACACAGUCUGUUAAUGGGAGAAGAUGGCUGUCUCCCUCCAGUGAUUCUUUCAGGGAUAAUCCAUUUCGGGCCCAGGAUGCACAGAAAGCUGACAGUGGAGAAGGUGACUGGUUACACAGUUGGAGGAAUGUAAAUUACUCUGGUUCUGCUCCACAGGACAAGACACUGACUUGCAGUGGAAACUGGAAACAAAACAUUGUUCCCUGGCACAGAGGGGAUCGUCCCCGUCAAGGGAUUGAACCUUUGUCUCUUGCAUCUCCUGCUUCUCUAGGACCGCCUGCACUGACAGCCCGGGUUCUUUACCACUAGCGCCACCUGGGAAAGUAAAUACUAACAUCUGUAUAAUAAAUUUUAUUAUAAUCAGGUUUUGUUCUAAUCC